AUUGAACGCUGGCGGCAGGCCUAACACAUGCAAGUCGAGCGGUAGAGAGAAGCUUGCUUCUCUUGAGAGCGGCGGACGGGUGAGUAAUGCCUAGGAAUCUGCCUGGUAGUGGGGGAUAACGUUCGGAAACGGACGCUAAUACCGCAUACGUCCUACGGGAGAAAGCAGGGGACCUUCGGGCCUUGCGCUAUCAGAUGAGCCUAGGUCGGAUUAGCUAGUUGGUGGGGUAAUGGCUCACCAAGGCGACGAUCCGUUGCUGGUCUGAGAGGAUGAUCAGUCACACUGGAACUGAGACACGGUCCAGACUCCUACGGGAGGCAGCAGUGGGGAAUAUUGGACAAUGGGCGAAAGCCUGAUCCAGCCAUGCCGCGUGUGUGAAGAAGGUCUUCGGAUUGUAAAGCACUUUAAGUUGGGAGGAAGGGCAGUAAAUUAAUACUUUGCUGUUUUGACGUUACCGACAGAAUAAGCACCGGCUAACUCUGUGCCAGCAGCCGCCGUAA
rnacentral:rRNA from 1 species